GACGAACGCUGGCGGCGUGCUUAACACAUGCAAGUCGAACGGAAAGGCCCUGCUUUUGUGCGCUUCUCGAGUGGCGAACGCGUGAGUAACACGUGUGUAACCUGCCCUUGAUUUUGGUGUAACUUCACGAAACUGGGGUUAAUCUCGGAUCGCAUCCCCUGCUGCAUUGUGGGGGUUGGAAAGUCUCGGCUGUUGGGGUUGGACUCGCGGCUUAUCAGUUUGUUGGUUGGGGAGUGGCUUACCAAGGCUUUGACGGGUACCCGGCCUGAGAGGGUGACCGGCCACAUUGGGACUGAGGUACGGACCAGACUCCUACGGGAGGCAGCAGUGGGGAAUAUUACACAAUGGGCGGAAGCCUGAUGCAGCAACGCCGCGUGCGGGAUGACGGCCUUCGGGUUGUAAACAGCUGUAGCCUGUGACGAAGCGUGAGUGACGGUAAUGGGUAAAGAAGCACCGGCUAACUACGUG
rnacentral:rRNA from 1 species